rnacentral:rRNA from 1 species
UGGGUAACCUGCCCUGUACACACGGAUAACAUACCGAAAGGUAUGCUAAUACGAGAUAAUAUACUUUUAUCGCAUGGUAGAAGUAUCAAAGCUUUUGCGGUACAGGAUGGACCCGCGUCUGAUUAGCUAGUUGGUAAGGUAACGGCUUACCAAGGCGACGAUCAGUAGCCGACCUGAGAGGGUGAUCGGCCACAUUGGAACUGAGACACGGUCCAAACUCCGUACGGGAGCAG